GACGAACGCUGGCGGCGUGCUUAACACAUGCAAGUCGAACGGAAAGGCCCUGCUUUUGUGGGGUGCUCGAGUGGCGAACGGGUGAGUAACACUUGAGUAACCUGCCCUUGACUUUGGGUUAACUUCAGGAAACUGGGGCUAAUACCGGAUAGGAGCUCCGGCUGCAUGGUGGGGGUGGGAAAGUUUCGGCGGUUGGGGAUGGACUCGCGGCUUAUCAGCUUGUUGGUGGGGUAGUGGCUUACCAAGGCUUUGACGGGUAGCCGGCCUGAGAGGGUGACCGGCCACAUUGGGACUGAGAUACGGCCCAGACUCCUACGGGAGGCAGCAGUGGGGAAUAUUGCACAAUGGGCGGAAGCCUGAUGCAGCAACGCCGCGUGCGGGAUGACGGCCUUCGGGUUGUAAACCGCUUUCGCCUGUGACGAAGCGUGAGUGACGGUAAUGGGUAAAGAAGCACCGGCUAACUACGUG
rnacentral:rRNA from 1 species